ensembl:snoRNA
GCAUGGGUUUGAAUUUUUGGCACAUCUCUCCCUCUGGGCCUUUCAUAGUGCCCCAUAUUAGAACAAGCUGCAGCCUCAAACCAUUGCCUGGUCCUUGCCAGUGGGCUGUAGGAACUAAUGCAGAUUGCACUAUA